AGUGAACGCGGCGGCGUGCCUAAUACAUGCAAGUCGAACGGAAUUUAAAAGAGCUUGCUCUUUUAAAUUUAGUGGCGCACGGGUGAGUAAUAUAUAGCUAAUCUGCCCCUUGCUGGAGGACAACAGUUAGAAAUGACUGCUAAUACUCCAUACUCCUUUUUACCAUAAGAUAAAUCGGGAAAGAAUUUCGGCAAGGGAUGAGACUAUAUCGUAUCAGCUAGUCGGUGGGGUAACGGCCUACCGAGGCUAUGACGCGUAACUGGUCUGAGAGGAUGAUCAGUCACAUUGGAACUGAGACACGGUCCAAACUCCUACGGGAGGCAGCAGUAGGGAAUAUUGCGCAAUGGGGGAAACCCUGACGCAGCAACGCCGCGUGGAGGAUGACACUUUUCGGAGCGUAAACUCCUUUGUUAGGGAAGAAUAAAUGAACGGUACCUAAC
rnacentral:rRNA from 1 species